AUGCUGUGUGACCGCGAGGCCCCGCCUGACAACUGGCUCCCUCCCGCCGCCGAGGAGGGCUGUGAGCUCGUUAGCCCUCGCUGGCGUGUGCGCGGGGGUGUGCGGCCUCCGGCGGCAGGCGCACGUGUGCCACCGGCUCUGCGGCUGUCGCUGAUCGCUGAUCGCAGGCCUGAGGAUUCCGGCAGCAAGGCGGCGGAGGGCAGCGGCCUGAAGGUGUCUCCCCCUGUGUCAGGCUUUGAGGGUCAAAGACUUAGAGGAAAAGAUCAAAACAUAUUCAGAAGGUUACUCCGCGGAACUGGAGUGCUGGUGGCGCAGGCCCUGAGGGCCCGCGGUCCCAAUGCGGCGGCCGCGGUGCGCUCCAUGGCGUCUGCAGGCGGUGUUCCUACUGACGACGAGCAGGCGACUGGGCUGGAGCGGGAGGUCAUGUUGGCUGCACGGAAGGGACUGGACCCAUACAAUAUGCUAGCCCCAAAGCCAGCUUCAGGGACCAAGGAAGACCCUAAUUUAGUCCCUUCCAUCACCAACAAGCGAAUAGUGGGCUGCAUUUGUGAAGAGGACAACAGUGCUGUCAUCUGGUUCUGGGUGCACAAAGGCGAGACCCAGCGAUGCCCUAGCUGUGGAACCCAUUAUAAGCUGGUGCCCCACCAGUUGUCCCACUGAGCCCUUGCACUGACUCAGUCAGAAUGUGCUGUAAAGUUUCUUGUUUCUGAUAAAGACUAGCCAUUGCUUUGGCUCCUCCCACAAAAAAAAAAAA